UAUUAUAACAAAUUGAGAAUAUGUAUAUGC
rnacentral:piRNA from 1 species